GCGGCCCAUUAGCUAGUUGGUGAGGUAAUGGCUCACCAAGGCGACGAUGGGUAGCCGAGCUGAGAGGCUGAUCGGCCACAUUGGGACUGAGACACGGCCCAGACUCCUACGGGAGGCAGCAGUGGGGAAUAUUGCGCAAUGGGCGAAACCCUGACGCAGCAACGCCGCGUGCGGGAUGAAGGCCUUCGGGUUGUAAACCGCUUUCAGCAGGGACGAAAAUGACUGUACCUGCAGAAGAAGCUCCGGCUAACUACGUGCCAGCAGCCGCGGUAAUAAGGGC
rnacentral:rRNA from 1 species